AUAAUUUUACAUCUUUUCUUCUAUCUCAUAGGUAGUACACAUAUCUUCAUCUCAUCUCCUCCAGAGACCGACGGGGAAGGAAGGUCCCUCACAGAGAGUUGCCAAUUUGAAACAUAAUUCUCAGCCGGGAUUGUUCGUAUUUGGUAUGGAUUCUUAUCCAUCAUAUAGAAGUAUUGAACUUUGGUCUUCCAAUCAUCGAGUGUUGGAUCAUUCGACAGUGCCGGACCCAAAAGGAUUUGAAGACUUUCCAUC